rnacentral:rRNA from 1 species
AGGCAGCAGUGGGGAAUUUUGGACAAUGGGGGAAACCCUGAUCCACCCAUGCCGCGUGAGUGAAGAAGGCCUUCGGGUUGUAAAGCUCUUUCGCCUGGGAAGAAAUCGCACUGGCUAAUACUCUGUGUGGAUGACGGUACCAGCACAAGAAGCACCGGCUAACUACGUGCCAGCAGCCGCGGUAAUACGUAGGGUGCGAGCGUUAUUCGGAAUUACUGGGCGUAAAGCGUGCGCAGGCGGUUUUGUAAGUCAGAUGUGAAAUCCCCGGGCUCAACCUGGGAANUGCAUUUGAGACUGCCNGACUAGAGUACGGCAGAGGGGGGUGGAAUUCCUCGUGUAGCAGUGAAAUGCGUAGAUAUAUGGAGGAACACCGAUGGCGAAGGCAGCCCCCUGGGCCGAUACUGACGCUCAUGCACGAAAGCGUGGGGAGCAAACAGGAUUAGAUACCCUGGUAGUCCAUCGCCCUAAAUCGAUGUCAACUAGUUGUUGGUAGGGUUAAACCUCUCAGUAACGCAGCUAACGCGUGAAGUGACCCGCCUGGA